rnacentral:rRNA from 1 species
UUGGAUCAGAACGAACGCUGGCGGCAGGCUUAACACAUGCAUGUCGAACGGUAACAGGAAUCAGCUUGUUGUUUCGCUGACGAAUGGUGGACGGGUGAGUAAUGUCUGGGAAACUGCAUGAUGGAGGGGGAUAAGUACUUGAAACGGUAGGUAAUACCGCAUUACGUCGCAAGACCAAAGAGGGGGACCCUCGGGCCUGUUGCCAUCGGAUGUGCCCAGAUGCGAUCAGCUGGCAGGUGGGGUAACGUCUCUCCAAGGUGGGGAACCUUUGAUGGUAUGAGACGAUGUCCAGCCACACUGGAAUUGUCUCUCGGUCCAAGAAACUACGGGAGGC